AGUGAACGCUGGCGGUAUGCCUAACACAUGCAAGUCGAACGGCAGCACAGUAAGAGCUUGCUCUUACGGGUGGCGAGUGGCGGACGGGUGAGGAAUACAUCGGAAUCUACUUUUUCGGGGGGGAUAACGUAGGGAAACUUACGCUAAUACCGCAUACGACCUACGGGUGAAAGCAGGGGAUCUUCGGACCUUGCGCGAUUGAAUGAGCCGAUGUCGGAUUAGCUAGUUGGCGGGGUAAAGGCCCACCAAGGCGACGAUCCGUAGCUGGUCUGAGAGGAUGAUCAGCCACACUGGAACUGAGACACGGUCCAGACUCCUACGGGAGGCAGCAGUGGGGAAUAUUGGACAAUGGGCGCAAGCCUGAUCCAGCCAUACCGCGUGGGUGAAGAAGGCCUUCGGGUUGUAAAGCCCUUUUGUUGGGAAAGAAAAGCAGCAGGUUAAUACCCCGCUGUUCUGACGGUACCCAAAGAAUAAGCACCGGCUAACUUCGUG
rnacentral:rRNA from 1 species